AGCAGUAUGGUGUAGCGAUGCACACGGGUGACUCAUACACGUAGCAAAAGAAUCCGAUUCAACCCGAGGUCCUUGUUCGAAUCAAGGUGCUGCUC